rnacentral:rRNA from 1 species
AAGCGGAGGAAAAGAAACUAACAAGGAUUCCCCUAGUAACGGCGAGUGAAGAGGGAAGAGCCCAAGAUUGAAAGCUGGCGUCUUCGGCGUCCGCAUUGUAAUCUCAAGAAGUGUUUUCCGCUUCGGACCAUGCCUAAGUCCCUUGGAAAAGGGCAUCAUAGAGGGUGAGAAUCCCGUACAUGGCAUGGAGCGCCCGAGGCUUUGUGAUACGCUUUCUAAGAGUCGAGUUGUUUGGGAAUGCAGCUCAAAAUGGGUGGUAAAUGCCAUCUAAGGCUAAAUAUUGGGGAGAGACCGAUAGCGAACAAGUACAGUGAUGGAAAGAUGAAAAGAACUUUGAAAAGAGAGUUAAACAGUACGUGAAAUUGCCAAAAGGGAAGGGUAGGAGGUCAGAGAUGCGUCUUGGGAUUCAGCCUUGCAUUUUUUGUUUGGUGUUUUUCCCAAGUUUGCAGGCCAACGUCGGUUUUGGGCACUGGAGAAGGGUGGAAGGAACGUGGCACCUCUCGGGGUGUGUUAUAGCCUUCUACUGGAUACAGCGACCGAGACCGAGGACAGCAGCGUACUCGCAAGAGCGGGCCUUCGGGCACCUUUACGCUUAGGGCGUUGGCAUAAUGGCCCUCUACCACCCGUCUUGAAACACGGACCAAGGAGUCU